UUUUUUGAGGAACCUCCAUACUGUUUUCCAGAGUGGCUGCACCAGCUUGCAUUCCCAUCAGUAAGUAUUUUGUAAGAUAAAUGAAAAAUUGAAGAACUGGAAUCAUUCAGCAACCUGACCAGUGCCAUAAGAUCCCAAUCUCCCCAUCACAUACAUUCUCUUUGGCCCCUCUGGCACUCUCUGAUUCACAUCUAUACAAUUUUGAACUGCAUGAUCAUGGAAAAGUAGAACUCAAGACAAGAGAAAGUUUAGAGGUCUCUUGCGGUUCCACCACCUUAUUCUCCUUUUCCCCACACCCAAGAGCCACAUUCCCAGCUUAGUAUGCCCAUCGUGCCCUCUGCAAAGGUGGCGUCCUGCCCCACUCUGCCUUUGACCCACCUAAGGAUUCCACACAUAUUCCUUCUCCUGUGCAAUCCCACUCAACAAGCACUUAUUAAAAACCAUCUGUACAAGUUAUACCAUGCCAGGCUCUAAGGAGAAGAGCAGAAAUUAUAAGAUAUGGCCCCUGAUCUCAAGAACUAAGAUUAUAGUUAGGGAAAUUCUGCAUUGUUCUUUAUUUAUUCUACAAGCAUUUAUUUAGCAUAUAUGCUAAGUACUGUUCUAAGUGCUGUGGAUUCAAUGUUAACCAAAGCAAAUAACUUCACUGCUCUUAUGAUGCUGACGUUCUAGAGGGGGAAGACAAAAAAACAAUCAUACAAACAAAUACACGAUACAAAUUCAGAUAAAUGCUAUUAAAAUGAAAUCAGGUCAUAGAAAAACUAUUUUAUUUGAGAUCUUUAAAAAAAAUUUUAAUGUUUAUUAUUUUUAAGAGAGACAGAGACAAAAAGCAAGCAGGGAAGCGGCAGAGAGAGAGAGGGAAACAGAAUUGGAAGCCCGUUCCAGGCUCUGAGCUGUCAGCACAGAGCCCGACUCCAGGCUCAAACUCACAUACUUCGAGAUCAUGACCUGAGCUGAAGUUGGCCGCUUAACCAACUGAGCCACCCAGGCACCCCUUUUUGAGAUCUUAAUGGCAAGACUUGAGAACAGAGUUCCAACCAGAGGGAAGAGCAAGUUCAAAGUCACCCAGGUGGGAACACAAACUUGAAGUGUUCAGUAAUACUGGCUGCCUGUUCACACCAUGCCCUUCACAUCUUCCCUUCGGGAGCAGAUAUGGGGUUGGGUGUAAGACAAUCUGCCUUAGGGGAGCUACAGCAUCCUAUGUGGGCACUGAAUUUCACUAGAUUUGUUUAAUUACUUUGGAGGAGGUAAAGCCCAUGUCUUCUCCUGCAGAGCUAUUUUCGUAUUGAGCAGUGAAAGACCGGUAAGAUCGAAAGACAAGCACUCAGGAGCCACCGAAGUUGCUUCAGCAGGUGUCUUUGAGAGACGACACUAAGGCCGCCGCUGCAGCAUAGAAAGAAUCUGGGGUGACCGUUAGGAGCAAGUGGUAAUUUCCUCCAUGCAGGUGAUGCUUCUGCAAAAGGGAGCACCCCUUCCUUGAUCUACUCAGGAUGGAAGGCAUUUUCCAAAAUCCAUCUGGGACAACAUGAUAUUCGGUGUGGCUCCCAGUUUCUAUGAAGCAAGAAGCAUCUCAAACUACAUGGAUGAGCAAGAAACGGGAAGAACUGGUGCUUAAUACAAACCCACAGAGGGAGCUAGUUCACAUCAAGGUGGGGAUCCGAUCUGUUCACUAAAGACAAAGGAACCAGGAGUAUGAGCAUUUUAAAGCUGACAAGCAUCUUCCUGACUGGUCCAAGUUGAAGCCCCAGGAGUGGAUCAAGAUAUUCCUACCCCAGGAGGGCACAGAAGGCAAGCCCGGAGCGGUGCAGAAGGUAACAAGGACCGCCUUAGUGGAGAACCCACGGUGGACUGGAGCUGACAACAUCGUUAGAGCAAAUUGGUUUCCAAGGGCUCCUUUUUAAAUGAGGGAACGCAGCCGCACUACCUCUGUCUCCCCAAAGAGGAUUCAUCUCAUCCCUGCCUGUCUGAAACCUGGAUGCUGCAGACUGGGGAUUUCGUAAACAAAGAACUCUGUGAGGCAAGCACUCUUACGGCUCCAUAUUAAAGCUGAGGUCCCCGAGGCCCAAAGGAUGGAGUGAUUCUUCAAGGUCACGUCCUUCGUGAGCAGUGCAGCCAGCAUUUGAACGGAGCAGAAAGUUGAAAAUGUGGCUACAAAGUUCAGGAGCAACCAUGGGAAUAGAAAUCUCGCUGCAGAGUCAAGAGCAGAGACUUGUUACCGAAUGAACAGGCAUAUCCAGGAAUAGCAUGGAGAUGGGGACACAAGUGGUCUGAGCCGGAGCCUGGGGGACACUGGACAGAAGACAUGAAGUAUAACAGAAUGUACAGCUCAGUCUGGAUGAGGUGGGAAAAAAAGCCAAGGCAUUCCCUCCUUCCUCUUUCCUCCUGGUAGAAGUGUACCAGGGCUUAUGGGCCUGAAAUACAUGUAGUUUGGGAGGAGGGCCUAUUUAAGAAAAAGAACACAAAAUUUAUAAAACCAAAAUUAGGGACAAAGUGGAUAUUAUUUAGAAUGGGAAAAGAAGUCACACAUAUUAUAAAUUUUUUAAACCCAGAUACAUGCCACAAAUACUACAAAAUUCAGAAAAUAAUAUGAUCUAU